rnacentral:rRNA from 1 species
ACAGUGGACGCGAGCAUCUGUGGCCAAGUUUUUAAGGGCGCACGGUGGAUGCCUUGGCACCAGGAACCGAUGAAGGACGUGGGAGGCCACGAUAGGCCCCGGGGAGUCGUCAACCAGGCUUUGAUCCGGGGGUGUCCGAAUGGGGAAACCCGGCAGUCGUCAUGGGCUGUCACCCUUGCCUGAACACAUAGGGCAAGUGGAGGGAACGCGGGGAAGUGAAACAUCUCAGUACCCGCAGGAAGAGAAAACAACCGUGAUUCCGGGAGUAGUGGCGAGCGAAACCGGAUGAGGCCAAACCGUAUGCGUGUGAGACCCGGCAGGGGUUGCGUAUACGGGGUUGUGGGAUCUCUCUUUCACAGUCUGCCGGCUGUGAGGCGAGUCAGAAACCGUUGAUGUAGGCGAAGGACAUGCGAAAGGUCCGGCGUAGAGGGUAAGACCCCCGUAGCUGAAACAUUGACGGCUCGUUUGAGAGACACCCAAGUAGCACGGGGCCCGAGAAAUCCCGUGUGAAUCUGGCGGGACCACCCGCUAAGCCUAAAUAUUCCCUGGUGACCGAUAGCGGAUAGUACCGUGAGGGAAUGGUGAAAAGUACCGCGGGAGCGGAGUGAAAUAGUACCUGAAACCGUGUGCCUACAAGCCGUGGGAGCGUCGCG